rnacentral:rRNA from 1 species
AGAGUUUGAUCCUGGCUCAGGAUGAACGCUAGCUACAGGCUUAACACAUGCAAGUCGAGGGGAAACGACAUCGAAAGCUUGCUUUUGAUGGGCGUCGACCGGCGCACGGGUGAGUAGCGCGUAUCCAACCUGCCCAUCACUUGGGGAUAACCUUGCGAAAGUAAGACUAAUACCCAAUGACGUCUCUAGAAGACAUCUGAAAGAGAUUAAAGAUUUAUCGGUGAUGGAUGGGGAUGCGUCUGAUUAGCUUGUUGGCGGGGUAACGGCCACCAAGGCGACGAUCAGUAGGGGUUCUGAGAGGAAGGUCCCCCANAUUGGAACUGAGACACGGUCCAAACUCUACGGGAGCA